rnacentral:rRNA from 1 species
UAAGGAAUAUUGGUCAAUGGAGGAAACUCUGAACCAGCCAUCCCGCGUGAAGGAUGAAGGGGCUCUGCCUUGUAAACUUCUUUUGUCUGGGGCGAAAAAGCUCGAUUUAUCGAGAACUGACGGUACCAGAAGAAUAAGCACCGGCUAACUCCGUGCCAGCAGCCGCGGUAAUACGGAGGGUGCAAGCGUUAUCCGGAAUCACUGGGUUUAAAGGGUGCGUAGGCGGCUUAGUAAGUCAGUGGUGAAAGGCUGUGGCUUAACCAUGGAAUUGCCAUUGAUACUGCUGAGCUUGAAUAAGGUUGAGGUUGGCGGAAUGUGACAUGUAGCGGUGAAAUGCUUAGAUAUGUCAUGGAACACCGAUUGCGAAGGCAGCUGACUGGACCUGCAUUGACGCUGAGGC